rnacentral:tRNA from 1 species
GGGCCCAUAGCUCAGUUGGUCAGAGCAGCCGGCUCAUAACCGGCUGGUCCUAGGUUCGAGUCCUAGUGGGCCCACCA